GAUCUGGCUCAGGACGAACGCUGGCGGCGCGCCUAACACAUGCAAGUCGAACGAGCGAGAGAAAGCUUGCUUUCUCGAGCGAGUGUCGAACGGGUGAGUAACGCGUGAGGAACCUGCCUCAAAGAGGGGGACAACAGUUGGAAACGACUGCUAAUACCGCAUAAGCCCACGGCUCGGCAUCGAGCAGAGGGAAAAGGAGCAAUCCGCUUUGAGAUGGCCUCGCGUCCGAUUAG
rnacentral:rRNA from 1 species